GAUGAACGCUGGCGGCGUGCCUAAUACAUGCAAGUCGAGCGAACAGAUGAGGAGCUUGCUCCUCUGACGUUAGCGGCGGACGGGUGAGUAACACGUGUAUAACCUACCUAUAAGACUGGGAUAACUUCGGGAAACCGGAGCUAAUACCGGAUAAUCUAUUGAACCGCAUGGUUCAAUAGUGAAAGACGGUUUUGCUGUCACUUAUAGAUGGAUCCGCGCCGCAUUAGCUAGUUGGUAAGGUAACGGCUUACCAAGGCAGCGAUGCGUAGCCGACGUGAGAGGGUGAUCGGCCACACUGGAACUGAGACACGGUCCAGACUCCUACGGGAGGCAGCAGUAGGGAAUCGUACGCAAUGGGCGAAAGCCUGACGGAGCAACGCCGCGUGAGUUAUGAAGGUCUUCGGAUCGUAAAACUCUGUUAUUAGGGAAGAACAAAUGUGUAAGUAACUAUGCACGUCUUGACGGUACCUAAUCAGAAAGCCACGGCUAACUACGUG
rnacentral:rRNA from 1 species